GAAGUCACUUCCGGGCUGGGGUGUUUGUUUGGACUGGAGAAGGGAGGCGGCGGGCGAAGCGCACGUCGAGCGGGGGAGCGGCGCUGCCUGUGGAGAUCCGCGGAGGCCGACAGGAUUCGUUGGCUGCCGUCCCCGCUGCUGUGCAUUGGGUUAAAAACGACAACCAACAUCAGCCAUGAAAGAUCCAAGUCGCAGCAGUACUAGCCCAAGCAUCAUCAAUGAAGAUGUGAUUAUUAACGGUCAUUCUCAUGAAGAUGACAAUCCAUUUGCAGAGUACAUGUGGAUGGAAAAUGAAGAAGAAUUCAACAGACAAAAGAGGAGUUAUGGGAAGAAGAAUUUAUUGAACGCUGUUUCCAAGAAAUGCUGGAAGAGGAAGAAGAGCAUGAAUGGUUUAUUCCAGCUCGAGAUCUCCCACAAACUAUGGACCAAAUCCAAGACCAGUUUAAUGACCUUGUUAUCAGUGAUGGCUCUUCUCUGGAAGAUCUUGUGGUCAAGAGCAAUCUGAAUCCAAAUGCAAAGGAGUUUGUUCCUGGGGUGAAGUACGGAAAUAUUUGAGUAGACGGGGCCCUCUUUUGGUGGAUGUAGCACAAUUUCCACACUGUGAAGGCAGUAUUAGAAGACUUAAUUGUAAAAGCUCUCUUGUCACUGUGUUACACUUAUGCAUUGCCAAAGUUUUUGUUAGUCUUGCAUGCUUAAUAAAAGUGCUGAGACUGUUACUAAGUAAAAAGCUGUCAAACAUUUACUGAAAAUAGAAUUGGCCCCAUGGCUUGAUGUGAAGACAGCAAGGAAAGAAGCACCAGUCAAGUUGUGAACAAGCACCAAAUUAAAAGACCUAAACCUUACCAAAUUGUCUUUUUUUGAGGCUAAUCUAUCACUUGUUAAUGUCUAAACUUUAAAAUCAGUACAUUUAAUUUGAGUUCCAACUGUUAAGCAUAUUUCUCAGACUUAAAUUUGAUUAUGUCCCCAUCAAAAAGAAUCUCCAUUUUCUGAAGGUCUGUUAGUUAAUUUGAGAUAAUUUGUUAAAGGCAAGUAUGUCAUAUUACUGAGGCUACAAGUUAGUCAGCAGAUGAGUGCCAGUCCAGCCUUUUCUGGUAUGUUAUUGUUAGAAAUAUUGAGUUCUAAUGUUACAUCUGAGGAAGUAUGUAAUUUGAGAAUUGUAACUUCUAAGGGAUUCACUGCAUCAUAGCUAUGCCUGUAUGGAGUCUAACAUAUGACCAAUACCAACCCAUAAUCCAGCUGAACAAAGAUACUGUAACAUGAUUUGAGUGGUGCUUUUCCUUGCUUUGUUAACCAUCACGAGAGUCUGCAGCACAACUUUUAACAAAGCUAGAACAGUUUUGGCUUCUUAAACUUCAUAUUUGGGUAGGUUAAGCUGCCAUACGUGUUCAGUGUGAAUAGUGUUUAAGUUGAAAAUAUUGUAAAAAAAUUAUAUUUUUUCAAAAAUAUUUAAAAAAAUAAAUAAUAGUAGAACUGAGCA
rnacentral:lncRNA from 1 species